rnacentral:rRNA from 1 species
CAGUCGCCGCGGGAAUACGUAGGGUGCAAGCGUUAAUCGGAAUUACUGGGCGUAAAGCGUGCGCAGGCGGUUAUAUAAGACAGAUGUGAAAUCCCCGGGCUCAACCUGGGAACUGCAUUUGUGACUGUAUAGCUAGAGUACGGCAGAGGGGGAUGGAAUUCCGCGUGUAGCAGUGAAAUGCGUAGAUAUGCGGAGGAACACCGAUGGCGAAGGCAAUCCCCUGGGCCUGUACUGACGCUCAUGCACGAAAGCGUGGGGAGCAAACAGGAUUAGAUACCCCUGUAAUCCCUGUCUCUUAUAC